rnacentral:rRNA from 1 species
UACGGAGGAUCCGAGCGUUAUCCGGAUUUAUUGGGUUUAAAGGGUGCGUAGGUGGUUUGAUAAGUCAGCGGUGAAAGUUUGCAGCUUAACUGUAAAAAUGCCGUUGAAACUGUCGGACUUGAGUGUAAAUGAGGUAGGCGGAAUGCGUGGUGUAGCGGUGAAAUGCUUAGAUAUCACGCAGAACUCCGAUUGCGAAGGCAGCUUACUAAGCUACAACUGACACUGAAGCACGAAAGCGUGGGGAUCAAACAGGAUUAGAUACCCUGGUA